rnacentral:ncRNA from 2 species
GCGGCCCUGCAGCGCCAGCUCGAGGCUGUGCGUGGCCGAUUGCCACAGCUGUCCGCAGCAAUUGCCUUAGUCGGGGGCAUCAGCCAGCAGCUGCAGGAGCGCAAGGCAGAGGCCCUGGCCCAGAUCAGUGCAGCGUUCGAGGACCUGGAGCAAGCACUGCAGCAGCGCAAGCAGGCUCUGGUCAGCGACCUGGAGACCAUUUGUGGGGCCAAACAGAAGGUGUUGCAAAGCCAGCUGGACACACUGCGCCAGGGUCAGGAACACAUCGGCAGUAGCUGCAGCUUUGCAGAGCAGGCACUGCGCCUGGGCUCGGCCCCGGAGGUGUUGCUGGUGCGCAAGCACAUGCGAGAGCGGCUGGCUGCAUUGGCGGCACAGGCCUUCCCGGAGCGGCCACAUGAGAAUGCACAGCUGGAACUGGUCCUUGAGGUGGACGGUCUGCGGCGAUCGGUGCUCAAUCUGGGCGCACUGCUCACCACGAGCGCCACUGCACACGAAACGGUGGCCACGGGAGAGGGCCUGCGCCAGGCGCUAGUGGGCCAGCCUGCCUCGCUCACUGUCACUACCAAAGACAAGGACGGGCGGUUGGUGCGCACAGGCAGCGCUGAGCUGCGUGCAGAGAUCACCGGCCCGGACGGCACGCGCCUUCCGGUGCCAGUGGUGGACCACAAGAAUGGCAGUCGUGGAAGGGAGAAAGGUGAAUUCACCAAUUUACAAGGUGUGUCC